CCUACGGGUGGCAGCAGUGAGGAAUAUUGGUCAAUGGGCGUAAGCCUGAACCAGCCAAGUCGCGUGAGGGAUGAAGGUUCUAUGGAUCGUAAACCUCUUUUAUAAGGGAAUAAAGUGCGGGACGUGUCCCGCUGUGUAUGUACCUUAUGAAUAAGGAUCGGCUAACUCCGUGCCAGCAGCCGCGGUAAUACGGAGGAGCCGAGCGUUGUCCGGAUUGAUUGGGUUUAAGGGGUGCGUAGGCGGCCUUUUAGGUCGGCGGUAAAAGUCUGUGGCUCACCCAUAGAAUUGCCGUGGAAACGGGGAGGCUUGAGUGUGUUUGGGGCAGGCGGAAUGCGUGGUGUAGCGGUGAAAUGCUUAGAUAUCACGCAGAACCCCGAUUGCGAAGGCAGCCUGCCAAGCCAUGACUGACGCUGAUGCACGAAAGCGUGGGGAUCAAACAGGAUUAGAUAGCCGAGUAGUC
rnacentral:rRNA from 1 species